UACGGGGGGGGCAAGCGUUGUUCGGAAUUACUGGGCGUAAAGGGCUCGUAGGCGGCCAACUAAGUCCGACGUGAAAUCCCCAGGCUUAACCUGGGAACUGCGUCGGAUACUGGAUGGCUUGAAUUCGGGAGAGGGAUGCAGAAUUCCAGGUGUAGCGGUGAAAUGCGUAGAUAUCUGGAGGAAUACCGGUGGCGAAGGCGGCAUCCUGGACCAACACUGACGCUGAGUGAGCGAAAGCCAGGGGAGCAAACGGG
rnacentral:rRNA from 1 species